rnacentral:rRNA from 1 species
GAUGAACGCUGGCGGCGUGCCUAAUACAUGCAAGUCGAGCGAACAGACGAGCAUCUUGCUCCUCUGACGUUAGCGGCGGACGGGUGAGUAACACGUGGAUAACCUACCUAUAAGACUCGGAUAACUUCGGGAAACCGGAGCUAAUACCGGAUAAUAUAUUGAACCGCAUGGUUCAAUAGUGAAAGACGGUUUUGCUGUCACUUAUAGAUGGAUCCGCGCCGCAUUAGCUAGUUGGUAAGGUAACGGCUUACCAAGGCAACGAUGCGUAGCCGACCUGAGAGGGUGGUCGGCGAACCGGGAACUGAGACACGGUCCAGAGUCCUGAGGGAGGCAGCAGUAGGCAAUCGUCCGCAAUGGGCGAAAGCCUGACGGAGCAACGCGGCGUGAGGGAUGAAGGACUUCGGAUCGUAAAACUCUGUUAUCAGGGAAGAACGAAUGUGUAAGUAACUAUGAACGUCUUGAAGGUACGUAAUCAGAAAGGCACGGCUAAAUACGUG